AGUUUGAUUAUGGCUCAGAUUGAACGCUGGCGGGAUGCUUUACACAUGCAGUCCGAGCAGCGGCACGGACUUCGGUCUGGUGGCGAGUGGCGAACAUGUGUGUAUCGGAACGUGCCUAGUAGCGAGAUAGCACGCAGCGUAGCUAAUACCACUACGCCCUUCGGGGGAAAGCGGGGACCUUCGGGCCUCGCACUAUUAGAGCGGCCGAUAUCGGAUUAGCUAGUUGGUGGGGUAACGGCUCACCAAGGCGACGAUCCGUAGCUGGUUUGGGAGGACGACCAGCCACACUGGGACUCGAGACACAGCCCAGACUCCUACGGGGAGGCAGCAGUCAGAAUUUUGGACAAUGGGGAAAUCCCUGAUCCAGCCAUCCCGCGUGUGCGAUGAAGGCCUUCGGGUUGUAAGCACUUUUGGCAGGAAAGAAGCAGCCUGGGAUAAUACCCCGUGCAACUGACGUACCUGCAGAAUAAGCACCGGCUAACUACGUGCCAGCAGCCGCGGUAAUACGUGAGGUGCAAGCGUUAAUCAGGGUACUGAGGCGCUUGUGCGCAGGCGGUUCGGAAAGAAAGAUGUGAAAUCCCAGGCUUAACUUUGGAACUGCAUUUUUAACUACCGAGCUAGAGUGUGUCAGAGGGAGUGGAAUUCCGCGUGUAGCAGUGAAAUGCGUAGAUAUGCGGAGGAGAACUUUGACCAGCGGCCUCCUGGGAUAACACGGCGCUCGCGCACGAAAGCGUGGGGAGCAAACAGGAUUAGAUGCCCUGGUAGUCCACGCCUAAACGAUGUCAACUUCUUUGCGCAGGGCCUUCGGGCGGCGGUGGCCAGCUAACGCGUGAAGUUGACCGCCUGGGAGUACGGUCGCAAGAUUAAAACUCAAGAUUGACGGGGUUCGCCCGGCAGUGGAUGAUGUGGAUUAAUUCGAUGCAACGCGAAAACCUUACCUACCCUUAAAUGACAUGUCUGGAAUCCGAAGGGUGCGGUGUGAAACCGGAACACGGGUGCCAUGGCUGUCGUCAGCUCGUGUCGUGAGAUGUUGGGUUAAGUCCCGCUUGAGCGCAACCCUUGUCAUUGUUGCUACGAGGCACUCUAAUGAGACUGCCGGUGACAAACCGGAGGAAGGUGGGGAUGACGUCAAGUCCUCAUGGCCCUUAUGGUGCAGGCUUGCGUCAUACGUGGUCGGGACAGAGGGGUCGCCAACCCGUGAGGGGAGCCAAUCCCGAAGCCCGAUCGUAGUCCGGAUCGCAGUCUGCAACUCUGGCCGUGAAGUCCGGAAUCGCGCUAGUAAUCGCGGAUCGGCAUGUCGCGGUGAAUACGUUCCCGGGUCUUAUGCCACCGCCCGUCACACCAUGGGAGUGGGGUUUACCAGAAGUAGUUAGCCUAACCGUAGGGAGGGCGAUUACCACGGUAGUUCCCAUGACUGGGGUGAGAGUGUGACAAGGUAACUCUGUUACUGGUACUCA
rnacentral:rRNA from 1 species